GAUGAACGCUGGCGGCGUGCCUAAUACAUGCAAGUCGAGCGAACGGACGAGAAGCUUGCUUCUCUGAUGUUAGCGGCGGACGGGUGAGUAACACGUGGAUAACCUACCUAUAAGACUGGGAUAACUUCGGGAAACCGGAGCUAAUACCGGAUGAUAUUUUGAACCGCAUGGUUCAAAAGUGAAAGACGGUCUUGCUGUCACUUAUAGAUGGAUCCGCGCUGCAUUAGCUAGUUGGUAAGGUAACGGCUUACCAAGGCAACGAUGCAUAGCCGACCUGAGAGGGUGAUCGGCCACACUGGAACUGAGACACGGUCCAGACUCCUACGGGAGGCAGCAGUAGGGAAUCUUCCGCAAUGGGCGAAAGCCUGACGGAGCAACGCCGCGUGAGUGAUGAAGGUCUUCGGAUCGUAAAACUCUGUUAUUAGGGAAGAACAUAUGUGUAAGUAACUGUGCACAUCUUGACGGUACCUAACCAGAAAGCCAUGGCUAACUACGUG
rnacentral:rRNA from 1 species